UAUAUUUCUGAGGGUCAGACCGUAUAUGUUCUCUAUAACUCCGCGGUCACUGGCUUCCGGUCACUUUUACUUCACCCACGUGCGAGAUUGUUCGUGAAAAAUGUGAUCUUGUAUGUAUGGGAUGCUGCGACAGUGCGCAUGGCAAUUGAGAAUGGAUACAAAAUGGAAGUCUUGAUAUCCCGACCACGUGUUCAACGUCUGAUGUUCUAAAUGGUUAUCGGUGGAUAUCUAUUGAAUGAUGAUGCUGUGCUCAAUGCAUGUACUCUGCCGGUAAUUUACACGUGUAUAAAAACAUGUGAAUAUACAUGAUCUAAAUGGUCUUUUGGUUUUGUGGCAAAAGGAGCAGUAUGGAAAUUAAUACAUGUGGUUGAACAUUUUAUACUCGAGCUGCACAUUUAUUUGCUUUGCUGAUGUCAAAACUGAGACACAUUCAUUAAUUAGGUAUCGUGAAUGCUGUGGUAAUGCAGCUGAAGUUGCGAAAGCCAUUAAUCGACCAUAUCCAUGUUCAUGCCGUCCCCCUUCUUGACGACAUCGUCUUGCUGUUCGUCUUGCACCUCUUUGCGGUCAGCAAGGUCCACGGUUUUCAAUUUAUGCUCGAUCUCUAGUAGAUCAUCGUCCAUGUCAUUUUGCACUGAAGUUUUAAUUAUUUCGGGGACGAUCCGGAUACUCCCCGGUUUAUUUUCAUUAAUUAUCUUCUCCUUAAGUUUCCUUAGUUCGUCUCUAGAGCAGCAAACGCAAACCGGAGUCAUCUUGAAAAUGCCUCUGCGAUACAGAACGCCGGGCUUCGCAAUGUUCAUGUUUAUGUUCACAGUCUUUUGUAUUAAUUUACGAAUACAACAUUUUUUUUUCGGACGUAAAUUAGACAUUGCUGUUUCCUUCGCCGCGCUUCCGUCAAGAGUUAGGUUCGACACGGCUAACUCUAGCGUCCCACGUGCCUAUCCACCACCAAUAUAUGCACAUAGCCCAAUAAAUGCUAAUAAAUGACAUUUCAAAUAUUAAAAA